rnacentral:lncRNA from 1 species
UUUUUUUUUUUUUUUUGGUCGAUACGAUAGAAUCCUAUAACCUAAGCUAACCUAUUCUAGGGGGAGGGGAGGAAACUCGACGUGAGUAGAAACUCCAUCGAAAUUGGUCAAUGAAUACCGUUACAUAUUGUGACAAUUUUUGUGGGAGGUAAGGUUCGAAUUCUUGACCUCCCGCACCACCAAACCUAAGAAGGCUUGGGAUGACCACUGGGCCAGUGGCAGCAGCUCCAUUGGCUACCGUGUGGCAUUCUCGAUAAAAAGGCAUUCUAGCUUCUUUUGUGUACAAACCCUAGGCAUCUUUUGUUGGUCAUAAAAGCGACAGCCUUCAGAUCUUCUAUUGCUUCUGUUCUUUUAUGUGUUUGUUGGGAUUUUUGGGCUACGUUAUGUUGCCGUGCUGCUCAUCCAAACCUAAUCCAUUAGCUUAAUUAUACAUAAGAGCCGCUAAUAAGAAGUGAACUAACUUCACCUCUUGGAAGUAACUUAGCUAAACUUAUAUGCUUGGGUGUGAGUGUGCACGAAUACGUACAUACAUACAUAUUGCAUGUCCUGUUGUAUUACAACUCCCAAAUUUUUUCUUGGACUAACAACACUUUGCCCCCCUUAAAUCUAUGGGAUGGUAAUACUUUACCGUUCUAUACUUCAAAAAUAUACAUUUUGUUCCCUCUCCCCUCUCCCCAAAUGAAUUAUGUUUUGUACUUCUAAUUUAGACCAACCCAUGUGCAUAUUUUUCUUCCCAAAUUAUCCCCACGCUUCCUAAUUUCUCAAUUGUUAACUUUUAUAUUGUUGUAUUUUCUUGUUAUGUAUUCACCAUAAUAUUCCGUUGUUGCAUGCUAUGAUAUUAAAUUAUAGUAUAAAUUAAAUACGAAAACUCUCCCAACUAUCGCCUUAUUUGCACCUUUUUCACUACCCAGUGGGUGCUCCCAUUGUGACUAUUAUCAUUUUUUAUUUGACGUAAUUUUUAAAAAUAUGUAUAACACUAAUAACAGUCACAAUUAUCAGUCUUUUGAAUAUUUAGUCCAAAAUAACAAUAGCAAUUAUCAUUCAUUUUUUCACAUUUGAUACUAUGCAAAAUCUAAAUCAACAUACAUGGACUUUUUUACAAACAAUAUGCAACAUGCGACAAAUAAAAAGUCCAGCAAAUUGACAUAAAAAAAAAUCAUACUUUUACUACAAACAUAAAAAAUUACCAUGAAAGGGUACAUUAUUUUAUCACAACAAAAUACCAUUUUAUUAAUUUUAAAUUACGAUACACACACACAUAUACAUACAUACAUACAUAUUAGUAUUAUAAUACAUUAUAUAUCAUGUGGGAGCAAGGGGCAGGUGGAGUCCUAUUUAAACCGAUGCUAGAUUAUACAUAAGUCUACAUAGUAAGUUAAUUAAAUUGCUCUCCAUCAUCACAUUAUGUAGUAGCAGAAUAAUUUGAUGAAUAUAUAAUAAGAAAAUGCAACAAACUAAAAGUUGACUAUCGAGAAAAUAGGAAGACUGGGGUAAAUUUGAGAAGAAAAAUGUGCACAUGGGUUUGUCAAAAUGAAAAGACAAACAUAAUUCACUUGGGAAACGGGGAUAGGGGGCAAAAUGUAUAUUUUUGAAAUUCAGGGUGGUAAAGUGCUACCACUCCAUGGUUUUUUUUUUUUUUGGGGGGGGGGGGGGGGGGGGAAGUGUUGUUAACCCUUUUUCUUUAUACUCUUCCCAUAAUGAUAAAUUAUGAUUGGUGUGAUCUACCUGCAUUCUAUUGCAAUGGCACAAAAAAAAAAAAGAAGAAGGGUACCUUUUGUAGUAUCGCUAACCAACAAUUAAUUUCCCAUGAAAAUUCUAAAAAUGAAAAAAAAAGAAAGCUAUAGCUUCUAAAUAAGAUUCUCAGUUUCAUAAGGCAUUUGGAGUUGAGUGACAAGUAAAUCUACCAACAUCUUCCGUAAUCACCUUUCUUAUCAAUCCUUAGAUGAAUAUAUUUUAUUCAAACGCUUAAUUUCCAUACACAAAGCACUGAAAUUCCCCCCCCCCCCCUACCACCAAACCAAAAAAAAAAUAAAAAAUCAGGCCUCAACUAAUUGAAUGUGUGGAUUGAUCUCGGUGCAUUUUCCCUUCCACAACAGUUAUUUUCAGGUUCAAAAUUCUAAUUGCAUGUCCAAAUGGGUUUUGGUGCAUUUCUUCUUGAUUUUCCCAUGCAACAGUUAUUUUUCCAUAUAGAAUAUCGAGAAUGAAAUCAACACAUCUAGAUCGGCCAAAGCUGUGCAAAAUUAUACUCGUCUUUUCACAAUGUCAAUUAGUGUGUAAUUAUAAACCACGAGCCUUUGAGUUGAUGACCAUCACCAAAGCAAUAAAACUUAAGGUUGAGAGACAACGGUUCAAAACUUGCCUCUUACCAAUUUGGUCAUCAAAGCAUUAAAACUUAAGGUAGAGAGACAACGGUUCAAAACUUGCCUUUCACCAAUUGCCACAUUAAAAGGCAUUAAAACUUAUGGUUGAGAGGCAACGGUUCAAAACUUGUCUCUCACCAAUUGCCACAUUAAAAGUGAUUUUGCUGAAAAAGUCCGAUCAUGGUUCAAUCCCCUUCGAAUUAUCCCUAGACCUCCUUAGGUCCGUCCCCUCGUCCUAAUAUGGGAUAGAUUAAAUUAUACAACAAUUAUCGUCUCAGAAAAAAAAAAUUAGUGUGCAAUUAUAAUUUGUAAUAUUGUAUGAUCACGCAACUUUUGCAAUAAAACAAUUUUCACCUAUUAUUCCAUAAACUUUUUUCUCUUCAUUAUUACCAUUUAUUGGCUUGGUCAUGAAAAUGGCUUUCCAGAGCCAAAAUCGAACUAGGAUCGACUUUACUAUUCUAUUGGUCUUACAAGCUCAAUUUUACCACUGUUAUCCGAUCUGCCACUGCUCAUCAGCUCUUUCAGUUGUUCAUUACUGACAGAAGAUAGAUGACUUCAGGCAAAAAAGCUGCUAAAGUCUAAAAGCUGAUUCCUCAUUUUACUGCAGAUGUUUAUCUUUACAUUGGAUGACUGUCCUACAGGAAAGAAAUGUAGUUAGCCCCAAGAAUCAAAUAUUACAAAAAGAAUGCCAUUUCAGGCGAUGGGAUAAAGGGAAAAAUGCUUUCUCCAAAUAAUUCAAACAAUAACAGGAGAAGACGUCCAGAAUCUAAGUCAUCUUUCCAAGCCUGAUUAAGCAAAGCUGGUGUCCUCAAAAUACGCUUUUCUAACUGAUCUCUUUUUUGUCUUCUCUCUGAGUGACUCUCCCUAAUAUCUUUAGGAGAUGAUCGGCCUGCACUGGAAUCGCCUAAAGCAGCGGGAUCCUUGUCAGUUUCCAUAUCAGAAGAGUUGUUCGAUAAUGGGACCAAGGCACCAUCAUUUCCAAUUUUCUCAGCAGGUGGCUGCUCCUCUAAUAGAUCUGCAGGUGUCCUACGUUUAUCUUCUUAAUUUAAGAAAGAUAAAAGUCAUGAUAAGAACAGAAUUAAGCGCUAUUGUAAGAAAAUGUAGAUAAAAUUGUAGGUAGUGAAGUACAAGUGCUCUAAAUCACAGUUAUCAGUCAAGCAGAGCCAUAAAAUGAAUCAAGAUACAAAGUAAAACAUUAUUUAUUACGGCAAUUCAUGAUUAAAAUGAUACUCUCACUGUGCAGGUUAUUGAUGACUUGUAGCAAAUUUCAAUGAGAAUGCUGGCUACUAAGGAAAUAAAAAGGACACGUUAAAAUCUAAAGUGAAAAACUUUUGGCCUCUCCCUUGAGCAGAAUACAAUUUGGCUUCAAGAUGUAAGGUUAGUCAAACAAAUGGCUGCGCACCUUAUACAAGUAAGAUUUAUGGAGGUCUUCAAACAACAGGAACACUAAACUUGCAAAGCACACGACUCAAACAUACAAAGAGACUUACUGGCUGAACAUGAAUGUAUGAUCCUGAAAUUCGUUUUCCACACAGUGCUUGCAGGAGGUGAUGGCAUGGAUGGAAACAUCUUCAGCCUAUCAUAUAUGCUUUGACCUGCAGCAGACUGGAGAAAGCAACUAUGUAAACUAGCUUUCUCAAGGGUGCUAGAGAAAGCAACACAACUAUUCUAUUGAUACAAACCAGCAACGCCCCAUAAACACGCCAUGCUUCAUGUCUUUUCAUUUCAUUUUUCUGCUUUUCAAGAAGCAUCUCUGGCUCAAGAAGUCUCAGAUAGGUCUCCAGGUUUGGCACGACAAGAAGGCGGACCUAUCAAAAGUUGAGAAGUAUGACCAACUGUGGACUGACCGAAAUUAUAAAACUUAACAUAGAAACCACAAAUAACUUAUAUGGAAGUAUUCAUCUGGUCAUCCUACAUUUUCUUGGGAAAAAUGCAGAAUAGCAGUCCCUCAUUGUCUCCUCAUGUAACCAAGCUAAUCAUUUCUACAUUACGAGGAUGCAGUAACGAACUUCAUGAAUUGUCCUCUGUGUGGUUGGAAUAUAAUAUCUUUCUUCUUAUAUAUGUAUUUCAAUGUAAAACCAGGAUUCAACCCAGUAUAAAGGAGAUGUUGGUAUUAUAAGAAAAACAAAAUAAGCUUCAAAAACAUAUAUAUAUAUAUAUAUCAAAAGCAGAAAAAAAUUUAUACAUGUAUGAAGAAUCUGCAUAUACAAGAUAGAUAUAUGGUAGUGAAAACAAAUCUCCUAGAUUUACCAUACCUAAUUCGAGCCACUAUACUCAAUUUAGAUCUACAAACAGAAUGCCAUCUAUCUUUUAAUUUUGUCUUAAUCAUCCCUCUGAAAACUGUGUUUCCAGAAGGUACAAAACUGUACUAGUUAACACCAUAGACAGUUGAAAUCACACAAUGAAAAACCAUUGGAAGGCUAAAAUGAGUUUUACUUGAACUUAUACAUAGUAAAUUGAAACUUACAGACAUUCAAUUUAAAGAAAGUAAAUCUAGUUCCAGUUAUCCAUAUUUAUGUGAAUACAAUAAAUUGCUGAGACUACAUCAUGACAGGAGAAAAAGGAAAGAACACCCAAGUAAAACAUAUUGAAGAAGAUUGUAUUCAGUUCUAUUGCAUUGAGUUUAGUCUGCCCCAUCCAAAAUUUGAUCUGAUAUCUUGAUGGGUCUACUGAUAGCAGCAACUUCUCAAUAGUUAACUGUUCACCUAACAUGAAUCGUGAAUUAUGUGAACAUGUGAAAACUAAGAACUCUGUCUGAAAUUAAAUUGUCAACCGUGCCAUUGCCAAGGUUUUCGUUGAAAUUUUCCUUGCAAAGAUGAGAAAGCCAGAAGUUGGACAAGCAAAUGUCCCAUUCAGGAUAUGAUGGCUUUCUUGUCAUCUUUUGUUUUUCAUGCAUAUUACAGGAUAAAAAGAUUGGCAUUAAAGUCAUUUUAGUUCAAAAGAAGUUCUUAGUGCACCAAGGUAAAACUAAAUAGUAGACCUUUAUAAGCAAUAGAAUUUCUCUAAGUUUAGUUUAGCAUUAAAGCCAAAAGUUUUGGCUGGGGUUUAAAGAAAAGAGACUUCUUCCAUUAAAGGCUUUGUAUCUAUCCUUCUCCAUAAUACUUCAAUGUCAUAAAUUAGCCAAUUUCUCCGAUGUAUCAUGAAAGUUCAUAGCACAGAGGAAUGAAAUUACUGAAAAAGAAGUAAAGAUGGGGCUAGUAGCAAGAUGGGUAUAAGAAGAGAACUACGAAAGGAAUGUGUUUGUGCAUGAAAAUGAGAAAAAGGAAUACCACAUUGGGUCCAAGUGCAGCUAAUCCUUGAAUAGCACCAUAAUGUUGAGUUAUUGCUCGUUUAGGAUCCAAAAAUGCAUGGAGCAAAGUCUUGGUUAAUCGUGUCUGAAGAUUGUUGUAGACAUGGGAAAACCUGAAAACAUAUGAAUUUAAAGAUUAAAACAUCAACCACACAACGUUUCAAGAGUGGGCUAUUUCCAAUUCACAUAUGGAGGUUUGCUUCAGUUUGUAGAAGGCAAAGGUGACCUAUACUAAUAGCAUUGACAUAAAAUCAGUUACAUUUGUCAACCAAAACUUGUAUAACUAUUGUCAAGGACAUCUUGUCAAUCUCAAAUUUCUUCAAAAAGCUUCAGUCAAUCCAUUCCAUAUUACCUUUUGGUCAUUUAUGAAUUCUGUAUUUUCCAAUGAACACAUGGUCAAUAAUGAUGCUUGUUAGGUUUAAGUCUCCAUGCAGGUUCCAUUAGCCUGGUUAAACUGGAAAUAUCACUUAUAAGCACUGCUCAAAGAGCACAAGGUUCAAAUGUCAUCCAAACACAACUGGAUAAACAUCUAAUGUUUAUUAUCUAGAAGUUUUGAAAAGCAUAUGAAUUCCAAAGCAUUAGAAAGUAGCUAAUAUUUGAAAGCAAUUCAUCCUUCUUUUCAGCUACCAAGACAUAGACCUAGCAAUCUUGAGGUGAUGAAUCUUCUAAACCAUAGAAAGUAAGAUUCCAAUGCAAGGAGUAAGCAUAUUAGAUGUCACCUCAUCACUCAUCAAAUGAAAAAUAGGAAUUCAAUAUGGGUAUUCCUUGCCAAACUCUAACCAUGAUCCUUUCAUGUUGUCACUAGCUAAUUAAAUUAAAAAGUACAUUCCAGAGAAAUCCUCUAGAAAAUCCCUACGAUAUUAAUGUUAUAAGGAAUGCUAACUCAAUCGAAUUAUUAGGGUGCAGAAUUCAAAGAAGUGUUUCCCACCGUUUGCAUAUGGAGGCUACUACAGUCGCAGUAAAAUCUCUAAGUUCCCAGUGGUUAUCUGCAAGUCGAUUCCCCAGCCUCUUGGCAACAAGACAGGUGACAACUGAUGGCAUCAAUUGGUGUAGCUAAUAAAAGAAGCAAAAGUCUCAGUAAAUAGAUAGACAGAUAUCAAAGGGCAUAACAAAUAUCUACAUUAUGUUGAGUUGUAGAAAUGAAUAAUAAUCUAGCAUUAAGUUACUCAAGUUUCCAAAGUAUUUCAGUAGUCCAAGAAUCACAACAAUACCUCUGUGUGUUUUUUGAAAAACCUUACUGAAGAUUUUGUGUUUCAAAGACAUAUUUGGUUGCAGUGUUAUUAGGUUUUUUCAGGUUGUUUUUAAGAACUCUCACCUCCCCUUAACAGCCGCUACCUUCCCCACUAUUUCCACCCUCUUCCCCCCUCCCCCCCCCCCCCCAAAAAAAAAAAAACAGCCCCACUUUUGUCCCCUACCUGCCACCCCCAGUCCCCCACCCAGAGCACCUCCUCCAAUGAAGGAGGGGCACCCCCGCCGGGGGGGGGGGCGCGAAGAGGGGGAAAGGGGCUGCCCAGAUGUGGGGACGGUGGUGGAAGGAGAGGGGUGAGGGCAGGAUGGUAGUGGCAGAAGUUGAAGGGGUGAUAGUGUGGUAGAAUUUUUUUUUGGGUAUUUUUGGAUUUUUUCUGUGCCUUUUGGGAUGUAGCUGUAAAUCUUGUGGGUAAAAACAUGCUUUUCAAAACAUUAGAUCCAAGCAGACUCACUGGUUUCCAGUAGAUAAGAUCUCACUUAUGUGCACUAUUCCUAUGUCCUUUGGUUCCUCUGGCUUUUUGUACCACCUAAAUAUCAGAGUUUUGUUUAAAUCCCUUUCACCCAAGAAAUAGUUUUAUCCAUCAUCUGUCAAAUUCAAAGUCAAGUUUUGAAUCAAUCCAAAGGCAUCACUCUUUCCAGAAGAGAACAUCAUAAUAAACAAAACUAGCAAAUGAAUCAAGUACACUUACGAUGAGAAAAUUAAAUGUUCCCAUCUUUACUGAAACCUGAUUUUAUCAUAAGCAAUCAAUUUGAACACAAGCUUUAAGAAACUAUAUCUGCAAAAACUCACAUAAGGUUCUAUAUGUAUAUGAGGAUUUUGAAGUAGGCUCCAAACAAGACGCAUCAAAGCAAAGAGUAGAGGGAAGUUGCUCAAACCAUGAGAAACCUGACAACAUAGUAGAAUCAGAAAAAAUAAAAUAAAAUAAAAUAAAAAGAGAUGUAAUAGACUUUUCUCAAAGUUAGCUCCACUGAAAGAGCAUGUCAAGAAUACCUCAUCUGCAAUGAAGCAUGUGAAAUAAGGAACCAAAGGAUGAAGCCCAGAGUCUGUUGCCAAACUUGCUAAAGCUUCCUUGAAAAGGACCGAGUCAGACCUACUAACCACAAGCUCAGUGAUUUUAUCAAAAUAUAACUGCAUUAAUUCAGAAGCAAGGUCAAUUACAGAACUUCAAAGUGAGAAAAUAUCAAAAUUGCUUCAUAGAAAACUUUGAUCUACCUGGAGCUCCCUAGACAGGACAUGUUUAACGGGUAACCUUAUGUCAACAGGAAGUCCAUCUUCUUUUUGCUCUGGCAGUUUUGUUUCAGAAGGAGCUCUAAUAACUGCAAAUGAAAAACAUAUAAAUAUCUGCAAGCACUAUCACCGUGGUUGUACAAACUAGAACUUGAAGACUAGAAUUACUUGUAUGCUCCAAAUUAUCAGAGGAAGAGUCACACAAGGUGCCUUUUUCCUUGAUCUCCCCUAGAUUGCCAAUUAAUUGAAAAUCAUUUUUGAAGCUUAGGCAUAUACUUCCAAUGAUACGCUAAAGCGUGGGUCAAACUGAUGCUUAUUAUUGUGAAACACUUGAAUACAGACAAACAUUAGAUGCUUUCAGAUGUAAAGUGCCAUAUGCACAGAAUCAAGUACAACUGCAUCAGAAAAAGCAGUUUGACCAGAGAAAAUGUUAAGAUCAGGAUACUCCAAUUUGUGCCUUGAGUUUUCUGGGUUUUAGACUCUUCCUCUGAUCAUUCAUUAUGUUAGGUCAGCCAAAAGUUGCCUCCACUUCUUGCACCCCAUGGGAAUUGAAUUCCUUGUUAAGGGUACCGGCUGAAAGCACAAUGCUUUGAUACAAUGGCUGCAGCAUAUCUUCCUCUGCCUUAGCUAAGUCACAAAUAUCUGGUCAGACAUUUAUGUUUCCUAAAGGAGGUUUUAACCAGAGAUGCAGUUCUAGCUAAAGAGAAACAUAUGGCUUAUGUAGUCCUUAUUAGCAUCAACCUUUACAUGGACUAUACAGUUUCUCUGACCCAUAAUAAUGUAAAAAGUGUAAAUAUAGAAAAAGAAAAAACUAUUGCAAUAUAAGCCAGACCUUCUACUGGAGCAUUUUCUGAAAUAGCAGGUUUUAACCAGAGAUGCAGUUCUAGCUAAAGAGAAACAUAUGGCUUAUGUAGUCCUUAUUAGCAUCAACCUUUACAUGGACUAAACAGUUUCUCUAACCCAUAAUAAUGUAAAAGUGUAAAUAUAGAAAAAGAAAAAACUAUUGCAAUAUAAGGCAGAGACCUUCUACUGGAGCAUUUUCUGGAAUAGCAGGUUGUACACCUUCAAUAGCGAGCCAGUGACAAACUACAGAACAAUCCAAGGGUGCUUUUGGUAAAGGAGCUUCAAUUACCUAGAUGCAAGUAAUAUACAGUUUAAAAGAGUAUAAGCGGGCUAGGAAACAUGUAAAAGGGAUUUCAAUAAUUUACAUCAGGAGACUGCUUACAUCUUUAAAAUCCACAUCUUUGUCAUCAACAUAAAACAAGUCCCUGUGUCCAAGUGCUCUUCUGAACCGCAAAGGAUCCCCAGACCCAGAGGCAAAGCCAUAAAUUGGCUGUGGAAAGAGUAAUAAACAAAACCAAACUAAAAUCAAUGAUGCUUGAAAACUGGCCAGAAUACAUUGCACGAAGUUCUCUACCCAACUUCCAGCUGAGUAAAACAUUGAAACUUAUUAUUUAGUAGAGCAGCAAAAAUCAUGUGAACUCUAGAUUCAAUGAAAUCCAUGGAAAUCUAGAUCGGCACUUAUUAUCUAGAGAUACAAUUUCAGAGGACCAUAAGACUUACAAGAAUUGUAUCAAUAACUUGAAACUGAGAAUCCAAAAGUUGAAAGCUUAAGCACUCUUUUGUUAUCAACAAAGACCAAAUGAACCAUUUAUAUCACGCGCAUUAAAUAUCUCCAAAUUUGAAGAUUCUCAACUUCACUACAUGGACUAAUAGAAUUAAUAAAACAUUUUAGUAAAUCAAUAUGAUUGAUUGAAUUGAGUUGGAGGGGCCCAUGAUGGAAGACAAAGAACUUGUAGGCUUCAACAGAUACAGUUGGGCAAUAUGCUGAAUCACAACUCUGUAAUGGUGUCAGCAUAGUGCUAAUGCUACACAGUCAGGACACAUGCAUUCAAACAGAUAAGGAAUGCAUUACAUGGUCACAUAGCUGAAAUGAAAACAAUAUUUUGUGCAUUGACAAGUCUUUCAAUAAAGGGUCACUUUCAUAGUAAGUGAUUAAUCAUUUAGAAGUUAGUAACUAGAUCUAUGCGAAACGGAUGGUACAGAACCAAGUCAGUGUAGAUGAAGUUUAACAAGAUUUAUUUCAAGUGUUCAAUGGACAUCAAAAUAUGACUUAUUUGAUGAAAUGACAUUUAGAUAAGUUUACCACUCAUGAGUAAACAUGAUAGCACACUUCCCUAAAAGACUAUACGCAGCAAUGAUAUCAUCCACAAGCUAGAGUAAAGACUUGCUGUAAAAGCAGAAGAUAUAGAUGUUGUCCACUAAUCAAUAUCUGGCCCAGUAUGCCUAAUUGUGUAUCAAGCUAAUGCAUGCAUCUGGGGAUGGAAGACCCAAAUCAUUUACAAUAUUUAUCUCGGUCCUGGACAAGUACUAAGGCCAAUUCCUUUAACUUCCCAUUCAUUAAAAAAAAUUUAGAAUUAAAGCCAAGCUAGGAAAUGAAUAAAUGUUAUCAAGUCCUACUAAGGUAAAGUGGAUUUCACGAUGAAGACAAUUUUGAUAGCUGAGUAGAAGGUCCUGACGUCAAAAUAGUGGUACAGCUGAUAUUUUAAAGAAUAGCAGGACGUUAGGACCAUAAAAGCAGCAGCAUCCGAUUUUCAUCUUCCAUUGAGGUUUAGCUGGCUGCAAGAUCCAAAUCAAAAUUGAGAGGUUUACUAAUUAUAAUCUCAAACCAUAUUGUUCUGUUCAUGUUAUUGAUAAUUGCUAUGCAUGUUUUCUUAUAAAGAUAAAAGAAAAUCAUGAUAGAACUAACUGACUCUUUUUCGUUGUCCACACACAAACAAUCUACAAUAGUGUUGUUCUGUAUUAAUUCCUAGCACUGCAGAAUCUCCAUAACCAAUUAACUAUUUUACUCAACUCAUAAUGGAGGCAUCGUCUAGUCAAUAGUUGAUCGUCUGCUAUCAACGGGAGGUCAUAAUUUGCCAGAUUGCUAUAGUUCAUGGAACGUUUUGAAUCUGGAUCUGGAUUGCCACUUGAAGCUAGAGUUAGGUUUUUUCAGACUAUGCAGAUGCUAUGCAUUCAAAAACCAUAAAUCACGAUCAUAUUAUAAAAGAGAUCAUAGCUGUAUGCCCAGAGCUAAGAGCUAGAUGAAUAACCGCUGAACUAACUGCUGUCCACAAAACCUUAAACUAAGUUGAAAACAAAAACCUACUACCAAGGGGGUUAUUAAGCAGUCAAACAUCCCUAUGAAAUCCAAUGUGGGGAAUGAGAUAUUAUAUUCACUUCUUAAGACCUUGCACUCUCUCAACUGCCAAUUGAACGUCCAGAGUGGACUAGGUUGUGUAAGUAUUGUAGAGGUACUUAUAUGGGCUCUAGAAUAGGCUCCUAUCCUAAACCCUCAAGCAACAUAGCUUGCCAACACCACUCGCCCAGUCACUGCCAACACCAGAUUCACUUUAAAUGUCAAGUGUAACCAGAGGACAGGAUUGGUCCAAUAACUUUUGAAGCUAGACUAAAGCCCAAAAAUCUUAAACCAUGUUACCAGUACGUGAGCAGCCUAGAUUAAGAAAACAAACACCCUUAGGUAUUUGGCAUGAAACACAGAACUUUACACUCACUUUACCAUGAUCAAGUAUUAGAGACCGCCUUUAAGUGUAGUAGUUAUCACUAUAUGUAAUUCUGACAGCUAACACUCAGGGUAAUCAUUCCAAAAAUGUUGAAUAAAUUACAUUGGUUACUUUUUAUGGAAGACACACAUUAACAUGAGGUUUGCCACUUUAAUGUCCAUAUUUAGCAAUCUAAAAUUGCUAAUGAGACAUAUUCCUUUGUCCAAUAAUAAUUGUCAAUUCACUAUUUUGUUGAUAUCCCUGGUAACUUUUGGAGCACAUCAUUGUGCAACUCUCCGUGUGAAGAUCUUCUAUGGCAUGAAUAUCGUACAGCAAAUAUAACCAGCGUAGUAGAACCCUCUUUUCAUUUUAAUUUCUCAAUGACCCCAAAGAUCUCAUCAACCUUGCAUCACUUUUAUGAGUGUGCUUUUCAUGUAUAGUCUACCAAACUUGAGCCUGUGGUAAUUACUCGAUCGCCCACUAUUUCCGUCUUGCAAAAGUGCAUCAUAUGUCUCAGCAAAUUAAAUGAGUAUGACAACUACCAAUAAAAAUCAGAUGGAUGUGAGAUACAAAGAACUAGCACAUAUCAUGUCCAUGCAAAGCUGAAUUUUUUGCUAAAACUCUUCAAUUAUUAAAACCAGAUGCUCUAAUUCAUCAAUAAUGAAUCAUAGAAAUAACUAACUAACAUAAACUCGAGAAAUAAGUGGCCAAAUAUCAAAGCAUGAUCUAUUUAAAGGACUUGUCUAACCUACAUACAUAUGCAUCUUAGAGACAUCAAGAACCAACCUGAUACACUCUAAAUCUAACAACGAAUAUUCUUCACUUGCCUGGUACUUUAACAGAAUUCGGUUCUCACAGUUCCUUUACAUUGUGAUCUUCUUUUGAAGAUUCAUAACUCAUGCAUACCAACAACCACAUCAACAGACCUAUUCUUUUUAUAAUUGUCUAUAUACUUCUCUCAAUCUCACUGGCACAAGCCAAUAGAUACACAACCGAUGAGAGAGACAUACAAACACAAUCCAGUGUGCACAUUGAUCCUUCUUAAUUUUUAUUGUUUCCCAGGUUACUCCUACAAACAACAAAUCAAUUACCAAAUUAGACAACAUGAAUAUCUUCAAUUAAAUGCCGAGAAGGCCUUGGUCUAGUGGCUAAGGAUGAGGCCUCAGAACCUAUAGGUUCUGGGUUCAAAUCCCCCUUCCCCCUCCCCACUUCUUAAAUCCCAUCCCUUCCCUGCUGGAAAAAAAUUAGAAAAAUCUUCAAUUAAAUAAAGACAAAGGAUGACAGGAUAGAAAGAAAACCAAUUGUCUAUAAAGGCUGGAAGUAAAUCUAGAACCCCAAAUAUAUACUGCAGUACUCCUCAAACACAAAAGAGCUACUAAGAAGGCAAGUACAAAAUUAAUACUCAGUAGUAAACUUCUCUAUAAUACUUUUGAUCAAAUAUAACGACAAAAUAUACUGGAAUAAGUAAUCAUUCACUCUAGCAGUAGAACCAUGCAAAUCAAGUUAGAUCAGCUUCCGAGUGAGAUACUAAAAUCUUAUGAAUAAUUGGCAAGAAUUGAACAAGUCAUAAACCACGAUGUUGAUGAAUAUAUGACAAGGUAAAAUUAUUAUUCCACUAUCAUAGAUGUACUGAGGAUGGAAACUACCUCAACAUUCCGUAAUCUGAGUGCACUAUCAACAUCUUCCGUUGUCAACAAAUUUCUCUUGGAAUGGCGCAUGCAUUUGAUGGCUUCCUUCAAUUACAUGACAAGAAGCACAUUUAGAUUUCACUGAAACACGUUCUUCAACUUCGAAAGGCCUCACAUGAAUAAGUAAAGUCAGGGCCAUACUUCAGUUCACAACCCAAAAAACACAGAAUGAAACUAAUCUAGGGUUUACUUCGCCUAUCAUUUGCUCAUAAACAAAAAAGUCAUCACUAGCUUUACUGGACAUUUCUCACCACCAACUCAUGCCUGUCACCAUUUUGCAACUUGUUGCAUUUCACCAGUAUGACCACUAAAAUGUUUUAAAGAAUAGGCUAUACAAACCUCUUUCAUACCUAUUAGAAAACUACCAGACAAAAUCAUUUUGUAGGUUCAUGCAUGCACAAACUCCAAUGAGCAGCACGACAACCGGUCACCCAUCAAGAAAAGGGAGGGAAGAAAACACAAAGCUUUUACAUUAUCAAGGAGUUUGAUCUAUUACGAGACACAUAUCAAGUGGAUGUCUACAAAUGGAGAUGUGCCUCAGAAUAUGCACAUCAAAUGGCAAAAGUAUCAUAAAAGAUUAUAUUAAACUCUACAGUAGUGAUUUAUAUGAUGGGGUCCAAUUCACCAUGCUUAAUGAGUAAGGUGAACCAGAAAGAGAUAGAAGGGUAAUAGGACAUUUGCUUCAUGCCAUUUUUCCCUAGAGCCCGUGAAUCGACUCUUUAAUACAUUCACAGUUUUCAACUAGCAGCAAAGGAACAGGGUAGUGGUUAUUAUCUGUCAUGUUGGUAUAGCCAUGUCAACCUUAUACAUGGGAGAAAAGGAAAUGGAAGAAAUGACAAAAAAUGAGAAAGGAUCAGCAGCACAGGCCAGCACAUUUCCUUAAGCACCAAAACUUGGUUUUCCCUCCAUUUGCAGUAUUGACAGCUUUGUUUUCUACCAUCAACAAGCUUUACUUUCCUUGCUUUGUCAUCCCCAUAAAUUCAGUAACAUGGUAGCAUCUCUUCUACUACAGUCAUUAAAGGAAAAAAGGCCACAAAUUCAGUGAAAACCUAAACGUCAUCUCUUUCUUCCUUCUUGCAUCUCGCACAAUACACAAAUCUUGUUUAUUUGUAGGUCUCUGCAUAUUAACGUAUGUAAUCUACUUACACAUCUACAGUCCAUGAUUUCUCAGUCAAGAAUUCUAGUCACUAACCUAUUGUAACAAAGCUUAUAUUUUGCAUACAAUUGACGUCAAAAAAAUGAUUAACAACCCAAAAUCAGAAAUUUAAAUGCAGAAAGCGCAUCAAAAUCAAUAACAUAUUUAAUCAAACACGACUAGUUUUCUCUAAAUUAACACACAUGUAAAUAAAAAUUUUUUUAAAAAAAAAAAGAAGUGCAAGAAACUUCUUCAGAUAUUAAUCAGUCAUUUCCUCUUUUCUUUCCUUUUCAUUAUUCCCAACUUUUCCCAACAUUUCCAUGCAGCAGAAACAGAGACACCCACAACAUCUUCAUGCCAUAUACAGCUUAAAUUCCUAAUUAGGCAGAAAAAAAAAAAAAAAACUAAACAAAAAAGUGAAGCCCAGAAAACAAAUUUAAGGAAAAAGACCUGCAUGAUUUCGCGCAAGCGGUAUUCGACAUCAGGAGCAAGAGCAAGGGCAGCAUCUGGGGACAAGUUGUUUAUCCCAAUGCUUUGCGCAGUGACUUCAAUCGUCUCCUUUGGAACUAUACUCAUCCUUUCCCUUAUCCCUUUUUUCUAAUUACUCAAAAAUUUUGAACUGCAUUUAUGAAUUUCUGUUCAAGAAGAUACAGAGUUGAGGCUUUGGAGGAGAAAGAAAUUGCAAAGGGUUCAGUGAAGCAAUCUUCCAAUCGUCUCGUUAGUCUGUGAGAAGUUUAAUUAAGGGGCCGUUAAUUGCACUGCUUUGGACCUUGAACUAAUUGCGAUUAGCAUUUUGCGUCUUCAAAUAUCAACUAGAAUUUUGACCGACGGUCUUUUUUUUUUAUUAUUAUGAAUUUAUAUAAAUAUAAAUAAUUUAAAUAUAAAAGUUAAUAACAAUUCUACAUGUUCAUCUACAUUAAUUUUAAAAAAUUAAUGUAUUCUAAAUGUUCAAUUAUUUACUAAUUUUUAAAAAUUUGUUUACAUACUUUCACUAUAAUAUGAUAGUAUAAAUCAAAUCAUGUAUCCUAUAUAAAAAAUUUGGUAGAUUUUUUUUACAUAUAUUCUUUUAAAUAAUUUAAAUUUUUAUAAUGAUCAUAAAUCUAGAACUAUUUAUUCAUAUUUAAUUAAGUAGAAAAAAUCUAGCAAUUCAUUUUUCUUCAUCAAUAAAUAUUCAGUUUCCAACAAUAUUGGUAAAUCUAUUAGUGCAACAGUUAAUUUUCAUUUUUACACUAAAUUAAUUCAAAAUUAAAGGAAGAAAUGAUGAACAAUUUGAAUAUUAAUUAACGGUGUGGUGAUGAAAGGAAGUAAUUUAGAAUAUGUAAGAUUUCAAUAAUUGUGAUUAAGGAAGUAAUUUGGGAUAUAUAAGAUUUCAAUAAUUGUGAUUUGAAAAAGGUUUUACUAGAGUUUUAUAUGUAAUAAUUUGAUAGAAUAAGAUAAGAUUAGUUGUUUUUUAAAAUAAUAUCUUUAAAAUAAAAUUAGUUAUUUUUAAAGUUAUUUUAAAAUUAGAAAUAAUUUUUAAACAUAUAAUAUAAUCCAAUUAGGAUUUAAUAUAAGUAAAACCCAAGUGACUUAUAACCCAUUAAUUCUUUUCAAUUAAACAUACCACGUAGGAGUGAAAAAUAAUUCUAAUUAAAAUAGCUACUUUUAUACAUACAUAUAUAUAUAUAUAUAUAUAUAUAUAUAUAUAUAUAUAUAUAUAUAUAUAUAUAUAUAUAUAUAUUAUAGCAUUAUGACCUCCCCCAAAUAUUUUUGUGAAGUAGUUCAUUUACGUAAAUAGGAAACUACAUUUCGUUGGCCUAUUUGGAGGCGGAGGAAGUUAAGAGAUGGUCUUUCCACAUAUAUUAGGAGGCAUAAACUACGCGUUACGUGGUGAGAUGGUAGUGUGCCCUGCCCUGUUUGAAAUAAAGUGCAUAAAGUGCAAAAGCAAAUACGCAAAAGAAUAAAGAAAAACUAUACUUUGUGGUAACCAUUGCUUCAUACAGAAAUCAAAUGCAAAACAAACUUUCAGAACUAUAUAUUAGUUACAAAAAAGGAGGCAUUAAAGCAAAGAAAUAAAUACUAGAGAAAUUCAUUUUCAAUGAUUUAACAGCCUUUUGUUCACAAGGCUACAUAAUUAUAGCCAUUUCUUAGACAUCAAAUGUGUGAUGCCACGGAUACAUUUUCUCAACUCCAUUGUUGUCAAAAAUUAUAACAAUAAAAGAAAUAGAAGGCUAUGAAAUAAAAACAAGCGCUUUGCUUCUUCAACACUAUGCUCAACUACAAAGGCAUUCCAUUUCUCGUGGAGCUUUUUGCUAGAUAGUCCAAUGUAGUAAGUUUUAGUUCCACUGCUAAAAACAAUUAAUGGAGUGCGCUUUUCUUCUAAUUUGAAAGUAGUAAACUCUGGAAUUUUCUACAAGCAAACAAUGUGUAAGGCUUGAUCAUCAAACAAGAAACUCAUAGAUGUAUAUCAAAUUGACACAAGCAAACUCUAUACCAUCUUAUACUUUGAAGAAAAAAUUUGAUAGAAAGUGUCGCAGUCCAUCACAUCAUGAUGUAAGAAUCUAUUUAUAGAUGAGAUAACCAUCAUAGAGAUCUCAUUUUCAAGAAUGCCACUUGGUUCAUGAGAAAGCAUUGGAAGAAGAUCCGUGCACCUCAAAUAGAUAAGUUGCAGUGAAGUAUAAAAUCCCAUUCCAUCAUAUGUGAAAUUCCCUCUAUUACAGAGAAAUAUCAUGUGAUCCUUCUUUAUCAAAGUGUCUUUGCAGUAGACGCUCCUUCUUUCAUCAAAGUUUCCAUCCUUUAUAGUUAAAUUCCAAUGAGAAAUGCUAUGACAAAUUGUGAUGAUUUUAUCAUUAUGGAAUCCAUUUGAGUCAUAGAUUACAGAUGGAACUUUCUGUUGCAUGAUAGUAAGAUUAGAUGUAGUUUCAGAUUAACAAGUGAAGCUAAGGUUAGAAUGAGAACUUGUUUGCUUGUAUUUGUAUAAAAUAUUAUAUAACACCAUGGCUUCCCCUCAAUGCCUUCUCCAGUUUUACUUGUUUCAAUACUACAACAGCAUUACAAAAAGAAUAACAUUAUGGCUUAAGUGUAUACAGAAUGUAGUUGGUGCAUAUUUGAGAUAAAUACAAAGUACCUUGAGCUUUAAACGUAGAACUAAUAUGGAGGAUGUUUUGUAACCAUUGCUGAAUUGAUUCAACUGAGUACAAAAAUGGUUCUCCCAAGUAUUCUAAUAACAUAGGAUAUUCGUCAAAAAGCUUUCGCUUAGCAUAGUAUAUUGGUUUUUCAUUUGCUUUCAUAACAGUAGUUGUUGCAUGAACUUGACGAUUUAUGUGUGCACAAAGAUAGAAUCGAAUCUUUUCAUUUUCUUGAAUAGCUUCCCAUUUUUUAAAUGGAUUUUGUGGUUUAUACAUUCCUUACAAGAGACCCUUAAAGCACAAUAAGUAUUGCAAGAAAAUGAAUUUACUAUCAACACAAAUUUGCUGCUGAAAAGAAAUAUGUUAUAGAGGAAUGUGAUGCUAGAAAAUAAAGAAUGAAAGAACUAAGACUUUUCAUUGAAAGAGUGUGCAAAGGAUUUAUAUACCAGAAAAUUCUCAUUUGAUAUAUACAUGUAGAUAAAUGACAUUAAUAUGACAGGCAUUGUGACAGUGGAGUAUGGAUGUAAAUGAAUAAAUUUGCCAUAAAGGCUCUGUUCUAUUGCUCAUUUGAACACAAUUGAAGUGACAAGAUGCAGCUUCAUUACUUCUGUUUAUAAUAAACUGAUGAUGCUACAGACAUACUGAUUAUUUAAUUGCUAGCUAAAGAGGAAAAAGGUAGAUGGUGGUUGUAUUCUGAUUUAGAGUGCUUCAAAUGAUCACAAAAAAUCAAAUAGUAUUUUUUCUUUUUACAUUUUGUUGUAUAGACACUUGUAGACAAUGGAAUUUUAAUUAAUUUUUAAAAUUACCAUUGGUCUAUAAAUUAUUUUUGUGGCUUAUUUCUAUCCAAUUGGGUAUUGCCAUAUGUCAUGUACACUUGGAAGAUUUGGUUAUUAAAUGGCCAAUUAUAUUUUGCCACGUGUCAAGUUGAGGUGUUCCAAAUCAAUUCAAAUUGCAGGAAUAUCUCCACCAACCAAAUCAUAUCAUGUCACAUGUCUAUUGGAUAAAUAUCUAAAUAUUUAUUUCUUAUUAAAGGGAUAAUAUUUAGAGUUAUUUAAUCCAAGUAUAUUUCUUAUAUACUGCAAUAGCUUGGCCAGUCAAACGGCGCCACGUCACGUGUCCCCACGAGUUUGGCCAAUCGAUGAAUUACUUAUCUCUUUAUUAAUAAAUAUAAAAUGAAGAGAUAAUAUUUGACUGGCACAGUCCUAAUAUGACUGCACGUCUUGUAAGACAAGUAAAGUGGUACACAAGUCUUCAGCCUCUACCUUUUGCUACAGCUAUAAAUAAGGAUUUCUCUACCAAGUCAGAUACACAGAAACACCAAGAGGCAUCUCACACGCUCAAAGCAUUGAAGCUCCAAGCUACAAAGGUCCGGAUCUUCAAGCUCUCCAAGUCUCCCAUAAAUCAAGACUUGAGUCUUCAAAUAUCUUCAAAAGUUCUUCAAAUCUUCUAUAUCAAGAUUUGAAGGAAUCGGUGGUGGAUCCAAGAACAAGCUGUGAAACCCUUGGAUUGGCGUUCGAGGAGGAGAAUCGAGGGAAACUCUCCACAAGUUCGAGAAAAACCCAGAGAUUGUACUCACAUAUUUUUCUUAAAUUUAUAUAUCACAUAUUUGUCGUGUAUAUUUCUUGUUUCUGCAUAUUUUAAAUUUUAUCGCGUACAACACUUAAGGCAAUAAACAUGAUUUAUGAUGCCAUUAAGCAUGCUUGUAUGAGAAUAUGAAGACUAAACACUGAAGAAAAUGAGCAAAUUGUAAUAAAUUGAUUAGGGACAAGAAGAUACAAAUUAUAACUUUGUGCAUCUAUUCAAAGAUACUGAUUUGCCGGCUAAUUAAUAUUGGGCCAAAGGAAAAAAAAUAGUCCAUUAAUUUGAAAAAGGUAGCUUUAUUUUUCUAUGUUGAUUCAGGAUAGCACUACUGCUAAAGUUAUUGAAAUAAUGACUUUUUUUGAAGAAAAAAAAAAAGAAAAUGAAAGGCAAACCACAUAAAAGAUAGCAGAGUUUCCUGCAAUGAUUUAACAUCCAUGGUAUUUAACUACACAAAUUAGACUAUCGAAAUUUGACCUAAAAGAUGGCAUUUCUCAGAGUACUAGUCUACCAUAAUUAAUUGAUGAGCCAUUUUGAAGAGCCACAACACUUGUGUGAGCAUAUUUCCUCUCCAUGAUUAAAAGUAUAAGAAUUUAGUAUUAGCAUGUGUCGCGCCCCAUUUUAAAAAAAAAAAAAAUUAUGAGUUGUAAAAAUGAAUUUUUUGAUUAAUUUUGAGUGAAAAUGAGUUUUUGAUUUUUAGAGAAUAAAUAAAAAAAAAGGGCCUAAAAUGAGACUUAAAAAGUGCGACGGUUUUGACCCAAAAUAAUAGUCUAAAAAGGGUUUUUAAAACAAAUAGGAGUCGCCACUUGUUAUUGAGUUAAGGUGUACCAAGUCACCUAAAGACGAAUUUUUAAAUAAAAAAUAGAGAAAACCUUUUUUAGACGACUCCAAGUCUUCAAAACACAAGAGAAAAGGGCUCAGGAGUCACGGUUGAAAAAAGAGAAGGUAAGGAUAAAAUCCAAUGCACCUUUUCAAUCUAGCCAAGACUAGUUGCAUGAUUUAGUCAAAUUUUUUUUUAAUUUAACCUAUAAAACUUAUCACAUUUGGAUGUUACUAUAUGGAUGCAAAUCUAAACCUAAUGGAUAUCAGGAGGGUCAAAAUAUUUUUUCAAAGUUUAAUUGGUACGAAUCACAUUAAUUGUGAUGCCCAAAAUGAUUUUUAGAAAAUGUCACGAAUAUGCAAAGAGUGAGACUCAAAGAAAAGAAAAAUUAUAAUAUAUAAGUAUACGUGACCUAAAAGAGGAAUGCAACAUAACGGGUACGGAGGACUAAUAUUUGUGACUCAAUUUUCCUUUUUAUAGAGAAGAUACGAGCAUGCUAAAGCUAAGAAGCCAUACUCGUCCAUUUCCCAUAUUUGAAGGGUAACUCUCCUAAUCCUAGUCAAGCAAAUGAACUAACCUAUGUCUAAUUUCCUAAAAUGGAAUGCAAGUCUAAAUGUUAUCUUUCGCACAUAGGGAUAAGAGAUAUACAUAUAGAAGAAAUAUCAUGCAAAAUGGUAAGGAUCCUAAAAAGUAGAAAAUAUGCAUGAAAUGUAGUGAUUGUCACGCAAACAUGAUCUAGCGCGUAGACGGUUCCUAAGAAUCUAGCAUUGGAUUAGCCCAUGUCUAUAAGUUUUCACUAGCGUUGGACUAGUGAGUAAUCGGGGGGAAAAACCAUAACUAGCGUUGGACUAGUGUGGUGACGUCAUACAUUUAUUAUAACUAAAUAAAUCAUAUAAAGUAUAAUUAAACCAAGUAAACACAUAAUGCACAUAACACGUAGGCAUGAUAUCUAGAUGCAAAGGCCCUAAAGAAAGCGAAUAAACACAUAAGCACACAAGCAUGCAAGCACACAAACAAAUAGACGCAAAUAAAAGCCUAAUUAUUACAUUCGGGGCUCUAACUACAAUCUAAGGGGGGGAAAUUAGAAUAAUAAUAACCUAACUAUUACAUUUAUCUAACUAAUUACAUUUUGGCAAAAUUAAAACCUAUCUAUUACAUAGCCUAACUAAAUAUAUGUCUUGAACUCCUAUCUAUUAUAAUUUGGCAUUUAAAUGCCUCACAAAUAAUUAUCAAAAUUAAAUAAAACAAAUGAAACUUAUAAUGAAUAAAAAUGAAUAAUAACGAAUAAAAGAAAAAAAAUUCAAAACAUGCAAUUGCACAUAAAACACAUUGGAGCACAUAAAAGAAUUUAAAAUAAUAAAAGAGAUUACCUCUCUCGAAGUUGUGGUUAAGUGGGAUGAAAUUUGCCAUAAUUAUGCUCCAAAAUCAACAAAAUAAUUUAGGCACCAAUUUAAUUAUAAAUAAAUGGAAAUAACCAUGAAAUCUACCAAUUAAAGCACUUAAAUGAAGUAGAAUUAACAAUUAAAGAAGAAAGGUAACUUAUAUUUAAGAAAUCAAAACUAUUAGGGACUUAAUUGCAAAAAUUAAGAAAGUUUUGGAGGUCAAAUUACAAUUAUUACAAAAUUUAUGGUUUAAAAUGAAAGAAAAAUAAAGUUUAAAGACCAAAUUGAAAUUAAAAAUAGGGACCUAAUAGAAAUAAAUCUAAAGUUUUUAGGGCCAUAAUAUAAUUACAGAAAGGUAUAGGGACUAAUUUGAAAUUUCGUUACCAGAUUACUUGAGCAGAAGGCCAUUGGACCAUUUUCAGCAUUUCUUUGGGCUAAAGGCCACUUGGCCCGACAGAAAGCCCUAAGAAAAAAGAAUAGGCUAAGCCUACUCCUUUUACCAAAUCAGCUCAAUAACAUUGCAUGGGCUUUCAUUCUCAAGUCCAAGCCAAAAAUCCAGAAAAAAUAAACCAACAACCCAUUACCCUAAACCCAAACAAAAUAACCUUCUACCCAAACCAACCUGUUUUUAUUAAGACCUAACAUGAUAAAAGAUAUCAACUAAAAAUUACUUAACCAUAAUUAUGUCCUAAAAUCCAGAACUAAUCUAUCAAAAAACAUGCUCAAAAUAUAAGAAAAAAAUUGAAUUUUAAAAGGGUAAAAUUGAUUGAUUUUUCCAAUUUUUGGGCCAUAUUAGAAUUAACUAAAAGUUAAGGGGCCAAAACGAAAAUUUCAAAAGUUUUCAUGCAGCCUUGUACGAAGAAGCUUUCUCCUUUCUGCAAAUUCGGAAGCUUUCUUGCUGGAGUUUUCUUAGCAGCUUAUUCAACACAAGUAUUCAUGCAAAACUCAAACAGAAUCUCUGAAUUUAUCAGCUAAAACCCAACAAGAAUCCCAAUCCAACAAGAAAAUAACAGAAAAACAUGAAAUUAAAGGCUCAAAAUCCCCUCUUCCUUUAGAUUCACAAGUAGAAAGAAAAGCAACCGGCUUUUAUCCAUGGGUUCCAAACAAAACCCGAAAUGUAACUUUGAUUGCGAACCACAGAGCUUACACAUCCACAUUUACUUCCAAAAUUUUGUCAUCUUCUAUUCAAACUAGAUGUAUCAGACCCAACAAAAACAUAGAACCCGUACUAUAAACCCAUGAAAGCAUAAUCUGAGAAAAUGUUCUCUUUUGAUGAGUUAAAGAUUUUUCCUUUGUGGAUUGCAGCAAGCAAAGGAAAGAUUAAGAGUUACCUUCGAUGUUUACAGACAGAGAAAUUGAGAAAAGUGGAAUUCAAAGCUCAAAUCUGGAAGCCAGGAACUUUGUUGCAGAAACUUUAAGAAUGAUAAAGGUAACAGGUUCAAGCCCGGAUUUGGAGAUGUUGCAGAGGUUUUUUCUAAAAAAUUCCAACACAAAAUCUUCUCCUCGAUCAACUUAGAUUUCCCAGAAAAAGAAAUCUUCCCACGAGAAGCUCUAGGGGGAUCGAAAUGAAGCAGGGAAAGUGACUGAAUCACCAACCCUGGCUCAGUUUUUCUAAAAGAUUUUUCCUGCACUUUUUCUUCCUCUUUUCUCUCGUUUUCUCUCUUUCUUUGCUGUUUUUCUCUCCUUUUGAUCUCUCCGCCACCCCUCUUCUCUACCCC